rnacentral:rRNA from 1 species
GACGAACGCUGGCGGCGUGCUUAACACAUGCAAGUCGAACGGAAAGGCCCUGCUUUUGUGGGGUGCUCGAGUGGCGAACGGGUGAGUAACGCGUGAGUAACCUGCCCUUGACUUUGGGAUAACUUCAGGAAACUGGGGCUAAUACCGGAUAGGAGCUCCUGCUGCAUGGUGGGGGUUGGAAAGUUUCGGCGGUUGGGGAUGGACUCGCGGCUUAUCAGCUUGUUGGUGGGGUAGUGGCUUACCAAGGCUUUGACGGGUAGCCGGCCUGAGAGGGUGACCGGCCACAUUGGGACUGAGAUACGGCCCAGACUCCUACGGGAGGCAGCAGUGGGGAAUGUUGCACAAUGGGCGGAAGCCUGAUGCAGCAACGCCGCGUGCGGGAUGACGGCCUUCGGGUUGUAAACCGCUUUCGCCUGUGACGAAGCGUGAGUGACGGUAAUGGGUAAAGAAGCACCGGCUAACUACGUG